UAGGGAAUCUUCCGCAAUGGGCGAAAGCUUGACGGAGCAACGCCGCGUGAGUGAUGAAGGUCUUCGGAUCGUAAAACUCUGUUAUUAGGGAAGAACAAAUGUGUAAGUAACUAUGCACGUCUUGACGGUACCUAAUCAGAAAGCCACGGCUAACUACGUGCCAGCAGCCGCGGUAAUACGUAGGUGGCAAGCGUUAUCCGGAAUUAUUGGGCGUAAAGCGCGCGUAGGCGGUUUUUUAAGUCUGAUGUGAAAGCCCACGGCUCAACCGUGGAGGGUCUUUGGAAACUGGAAAACUUGAGUGCAGAAGAGGAAAGUGGAAUUCCAUGUGUAGCGGUGAAAUGCGCAGAGAUAUGGAGGAACACCAGUGGCGAAGGCGACUUUCUGGUCUGUAACUGACGCUGAUGUGCGAAAGCGUGGGGAUCAAACAGG
rnacentral:rRNA from 1 species